GACGAACGCUGGCGGCGUGCUUAACACAUGCAAGUCGAACGGUAAGGCCCUUCGGGGUACACGAGUGGCGAACGGGUGAGUAACACGUGGGUGAUCUGCCCUGCACUUCGGGAUAAGCCUGGGAAACUGGGUCUAAUACCGGAUAGGACCCUGGGAUGCAUGUUCUGGGGUGGAAAGCUUUUGCGGUGUGGGAUGGGCCCGCGGCCUAUCAGCUUGUUGGUGGGGUGAUGGCCUACCAAGGCGACGACGGGUAACCGGCCUGAGAGGGUGACCGGCCACACUGGGACUGAGAUACGGCCCAGACUCCUACGGGAGGCAGCAGUGGGGAAUAUUGCACAAUGGGCGCAAGCCUGAUGCAGCGACGCCGCGUGAGGGAUGACGGCCUUCGGGUUGUAAACCUCUUUCAGCACCGACGAAGCGCAAGUGACGGUAGGUGCAGAAGAAGGACCGGCCAACUACGUGCCAGCAGCCGCGGUAA
rnacentral:rRNA from 1 species